UUCUCUCUCUCGUGCAAUUCCUCCGCCUCCAUACACAUCUCUUUCUGCCAUUCUCUUCCGACCACGCUCUUCCCUUCCUGCCACCACCAUUCUCCGUUUGAUUUCCUGGUUUAUAUCUUUCUGCACCCUGUUCGGCCAUACUUCACAACCAGUUUUGUCACCCGCCAUCUCUUUUAAACCCUAAACCCUUAAACUUGUUUUUCACAUGUACUUCAAAGCUUUCAUGGAUUCAAUGGAGUUUGUUCUAGAUCUAAGUAUAAUUUCUUUAUUUUCAUCUUUGAGCUUAACGUUGGUGCAUUUUUGUCUCAGAUUUACUUAUAUCGAUUUUGGUUUCUCCAUGUUGGAUUUGAGCUUCUCACCGUCAAAUUUAUCCGGGGCAAUGAUGGAAAGGUUUGACAUUGUUAAAAAUUUCGUUCUUUCUUCUGGCUAAGUUUCUAUUAUCUCUUGAUUUCGGUUGGUUUUUCACUAAUUCAUUAUUUUGUGUGAUGAACACAAGAUUGAGAUUACAAUCUCGUGUGGUACAAAAUCGGUGUCGAAAUUGAAAAAAUCACUAGAUCUUCUCGAUGUUCUUCCCCUUUCACUCUUUCUCCAUCUCAAUCUCCAUCUUCUCUAUUCUCUCUCUGAUUCAUAUCAUCCAAGGUUAACUUCUCAAUCAUCGAACCCUAGCCUUUACUGCUAUCGUUUUUCGCAUUUAUUAUUCGUGAAUCUAUUGCGUUCUAAUUCUAUCUAAUCGAGUAGAUUUUGUUUUGAUUGAUUCAUUGAUGUUGAUAUUUAUCGUAUUCGGAAAUCUUUGCUUGCAGAUUUUUGGUAGUUGUUUUGUUGAUUUGUGUUACCAUGUCGUUGGGUGAACGGAAAACUAUCGACCUAGAACAAGGAUGUGAUUUUAUGCAUAGGGGUAUCAUGAAGCUCAAGAAUAUUCUGAAAGGUUUGCCUGAACUUCAGUUCAUCCCUGAGGAUUACAUGAUGUUGUAUACGACCAUCUAUAUAACAUGUGCACUCAAAAGCUCCUCAUGAUUAUUCUCAACAUUUGUAUGAUAAGUAUAAGGAGGCGUUUGAAGAGUAUAUCGUGUCAACUGUGAGUAACACUGCCAUUUGGAUAUCAUAUUCUUGCAGGGCAUUAAGUGAUUUAUUCAACUAUAAAUUGUUUUUGAUGUAAUUAAUUUGUAUUAGUAUUGUCAAGUAGCAGCAAUGACACGCCACAGCUAAUUGCAAUGGUGGAUUUUUUAUCAUCAUGUGUCACUUGGAACCUUUCUACUCCAUACUUUGAUCGCAUUAGAAAAAUGGACUUCCAAAGUUUCUAAUAGACACAAUUCAGUAACUUAAGUGCUUUUUUUAUAUUAACUUUAAUUUUAUUAUUUGCUCUCACUAAUAGUGUCUUUUGAUCCAAAUAGACUUCAAUAUUCACUACCUAACCACUUAUAUACUAUAUGGCUAUUAAGUCAAUUUUUAUUACACGUGCAGGACAGUUACAUAAUCAACCCUUUUUAUGUCUUCAUGAACCCUUGUCUUGUUUAUGAAAUUACAUUCUAGAAUAAGUUAUUAAGUUGUUUAAAGAGUUGACGUAUGGUCUGGAAAAAUUAAGUCAUGAUGUGGUUAAUUACAUACAAAGGGACGAGGAUGGAGCACUUGCUGACCAAUAAAGUCUACAAGCAAAUAUAAUUUUGGUGUUGUCUUCAGAAGCUACAACUCAUCUUCUCGUGGAUGCAUGGUGGUAUUUCAAGUGCGCGAAAGGACUUAAAUGGUUGGAUAUUUGUUGUUUUGUUAUUUAGUAGUAGUCCGCCGUGUGUAACUUUCUUGUAAUUUUGUACACUUGUGUAUCCUAGAUUAAUACUUUUGUAAAUUUUGAAGAAUAUAUAUAUAUAUAUGCAUCUUAACUAUUUGGUGCAAUGAAAUUAUA